CUUGAAUAUUGUAAUGAAAUGUAGGAAUAAAUUUAACAUCCCCGAGAGAAGCAAUGGUCUCCUAUUCUAUAUACUUUCAGGCCCACUCUUAUAUUGUUAAUUUGUUUUUGGUCUCCAUAGAGGGCAGCCUAAGACAAAUUGCAUUUAAAGUGAAACAGGAGUGAUUUGGAAGACAUAGGGUAAAACUGGCUCAGAUGAAGAUUUUGAAACACUGUGGUGUAUUAUCUAGAAUGACUGAGAUUCCUUCCCUUGAGAACUUUGGCAAUGAAAUCGGAAUUGCAUGCCUGCAACAACAUGGGGGCGUUGCCACAGGAUGAAAGAUGUUACCAAUUUAGCCUGACGACCACUUCAAAGUCAAGAGGAGGAACAGAUGGGUUGGCAUUGGAAAAUUCUCCCACUUGCUUAAAUAAAAAUAACUCGUAAAAUACUAAA